rnacentral:lncRNA from 1 species
AGAUAAAGUGCAAGAAAAAAAAAAAACAGACACAAAAAUAAAAAUAAAAGUACAGAAAACCAUAUACUAUGCAAACUGUAACCAAAAAAGUUGGAGUAGCUAUAUUGAUAAUUGGAAAAAUAUUAAAUAUCACUAGAGACAAAGAGGAACAUUUAUAAUGAUAAAAGCUAUAUCAAUUAUAAAUGUACACAUAUCCAACAACAGAUCCCCAAAAUACACAAAGCAAAAAUUGACAACAGAAAGGAGAACUAGGUUCAAUAAUAACUGGCCUGGACCUGGAUCAGUAAUUUAAAUUUCUACCCUAAGAUACAAAAAGAACAAACAACCCAAAGCAAGCAGAAGGAAGGAAAAUACAAAGAUUAGAGUGGAAACUAAUGAAAGAGAAAACGGUAAACAUUAGAGAAAUGUUGAUAAAACCAAAAGUUAGCUCUUUAAAAAAGAUCAACAAAGUCAACAAACAAGAAGAAAAGGGAGAAGACCCAAAUUCCCAAAGUCGGGAAUGAAAAAGAAAACACUAGUGAUCCUACUCAAAAGGAUUAUAAAGGAACAACCUGAUAAAGAUUAUGAGGAACCACCUUAUACUACCAGAUUAGACAAUUUAGAUAGAAGAAGUUUCUAGAAAGACACAAAUUUACCAAAACCGACUUGAGAAGAAAAAAAAUCUGAAUAGACCCAAACUGUUAAAUAUAGACCCAAACCAUUAAAUAAGUUAAAUUAAGCAUUAAAAAUCUUCCCAUGAAGAAAAGGCGGGUCCCAGAAAGCUUCACUGGUGACCACCCUGUCAAAUACUGAAAGAAGAAAUACCAUUCAUCACAACUCAGGAGACAGGGAGGGAACACUCGUUCCAUUCUAUGAGGCCGGUGUUAUCCUGACACAAAAGACAAAGACAUCACAGACAUCACAGAACUACGGACCAGAAUCUCUCAUGAACAUAGAUGCAAAAAUCCUUAGCAAAUAUUAGCAAAUGGAAUCCAGCAACAUAAAAAAAAAAAAUAAGAUUACACCAUAGCCACAGGGAUUUGUCCCCGGAGUACAAAGUUAGUUUAACAUCCCAAAUCAAUUAAUGGAAUACACCAUAUUAAUAGAGUAAGGGAUAAAACCCACAUGAUCAUCUCAACAGUAGCAUAAAAAGCGUCUGGAAAUCCAACACGAUGCAGAUGUUCAGCAUCAUUAGUCAUCGGGGAAAUGGGAAUUGAAGGCACAAUGAGAUUCCCCACCUGGAUGGCUAUCAUCAGAAGACAGACGACAAGAAGUAUUAGGAGGGAUGUGGAGAAACUGGAACCUCAAUUGCCAGUGGCACAUUUGGCAAUUUCUUUCUUUCUUUUUUUUCUUUUUUCUUUUUUUUGUACAAGGAAUUGAACCCAGGCUUACUUAUUAAGCCACAUCCCCAGCCCUUUUUGAGACAGGAUCUCACUAAGUUGUAUAGGACUUCACCAAGUUGUCGAGGCUGGCCUCAAACUUGCCAUCCUCCUAUUCAGCCUCCUGAGCUGCUGGAAUUACAGGUGUGAGUCACUGGUCCCAGCUACAUUCCACAAUUUCUUAGAAAGUUAAAUGCCAUUAACGAACAGAUCUAGCAGUUCCAUGACAAUGUAUGUAUCCAAGAGAAUCGCAAACAUGUUUCACGAAGACUCUAUCAGCUUUAUAUAUCAUGGCCACAAUUCGGAAGAAAUCCAAAUACUUGUCCAUCUGUGAGGAACGCAUCAGGGCAUCACCCACUCGAUGGGAGACUCAUCUGCAAUAAAAGGGACCCAACUACCAGAAACAUGCUGGAACACAGACGAGCCUCAUCUGAAACUAAAGCCAGGCAGAAAGACGACAUAUUGUACGAUUUUUAUAAGAAACAUUGAGAAAAAGCAAAUCUAGGGCUGGGGUUGUGGCUCAAUGGUAGAACACUUGCCUCCUAUGUGUGAAGCACUGGGUUCGAUCCCCAGCACCACAUUAAAAAAAUAAUAAUAAAAUAAUAAUAAACAAAAUAAAGUUAUUUAAAAAAAAAGAAAAAGAGCAAAUCUACAAGUACAGGAAGCAGGUAAGUUACAACCCAGGCCCAGAAGUGGGAUUUACUGCAAACCAGCGGACGAACUCCAGGUGACGGACUGUCCUACAGGUGCAGCACCCUGCUGGCAGCACCACUCCACAAAUGUGCUGAAAAGCGCCAAACUGUGUGUUUAUGGUGGUGAAUUUUAUGGUAUGUAAAUUAUACCUCAG